UACGUAGGGGGCUAGCGUUGUCCGGAAUCAUUGGGCGUAAAGAGCGCGUAGGCGGCCAGAUAAGUCCGGUGUGAAAGUCAAAGGCUCAACCUUUGAAUGCCGCUGGAAACUGUCUGGCUAGAGUCCGGGAGGGGCGAGUGGAAUUCCUGGUGUAGCGGUGAAAUGCGCAGAUAUCAGGAGGAACACCGGUGGCGAAGGCGGGAGCCUGGGCCAGUACUGACGCUGAGGAGCGAAAGCUAGGGGAGCAAACGGG
rnacentral:rRNA from 1 species